AAAUAAAAAUAGUAUAAGAUACUAUUUUUAUUGGAUUUAGAGAAGUAAAACAUAAGUCAGAAGUGACUUGUGCUGAAAUCGGAAUGAAAACAGAAGAUCUAGAAUUUUCUGUUGGAAACGGGACAGAUAAAUUAGCAGAAAAUGCAGUGUCAGAAAAUUAUGAAAACUGGAGGAUAAGUCAGAAUUAUUUUUAUGAGGCUAGAUUUAAAGUUUCAUGUCAUUCUGACACCCGGAAGGUGGAAAAUAAAAUCCGACAGCUAUCUGAUAAAGAUUACAGUUCGGUACAGUUUUU
rnacentral:lncRNA from 1 species